UUCUAUACAGGCUAUAGCUAAACGCCUAAACCCAUUUCAUUCCCAAAUCCCUAAAUUCCAAAAGGGCUCGAUCUCUCUUUCGACGUCUUCAUCUGAAGCGGCAAUUUGAGAUUCACAAAAUUGAUAUGAAGCACCAUCAAUUUCUCUGAAGCUUCAUCUUCUUCGUCUUCAAUUUCGUCGUUUGCAUCUUCGUCUUCUUCAUCCGCCAUUAAUUUUCUCAACCCUUUGCCACCUCCUCAAGGUCCUUCAAAGACAAGUAAAGUUCGUGGACCUACUUUGUUAAAAGAUGUUUGGAAUCUACCGCCGGGGAAGACAAUUGUUGUGCCGUUUAAUAGUCGUAAUCAAUCAAUUGGAAAAGAGGGACGAAAGCUGGCUAGCUUUCUAGGCAUCAUUGCUAGAACUCCAGAUUUGACGCCAUUAAAUGCAAAUGAUUGGCGAGUGUUUGACGACGAAGAAAAGACAAAGUUGGUGGAAUUUGUGAAGAAGAAGUUCUCAAUUUCGAUAUGCGGAGAAGAGUUUGUGAAAAAGUCAAUAGGAAAAAAAUGGAGGCUAUAAAUGCGACUUAAAGGCUAUGUAUGUGACCAAAUAUAAGACCAAAGAUGCCUUGAUGAAAAAUAGACCAGCUCACAUACCAAGAGAUCAAUGGAAUGGUCUCGUCUUGUAUUGGCUUUCUAAAAAAGCAAAGAAGCGUAGUCAAACAAAUAGAAUCAGUAGAGCUAACCAAAAAAUGGCUCACACGGGUGGAUCGAAAAGCAUAGCAACCUUGAUGAAUGAACAGGCUAUAGAUGGAAUAGAGUCCACACGUGCAAAAAUCUACAUAUUAACUCAUACAGAGCAUAGAGAUGGUAGACCAUUGGAUGAGGAGUCUUCAAAUGCCGUUGUAAGAUCUCUUAUACACUUUUACCUUUCAAUUGUGAAAAUUCUAACUUGGAAAUUGAUUUGG